rnacentral:lncRNA from 1 species
CCUUCCCUUUCCUGUCUCACUUCCCCACUCCUCUUCCUGGGUCGCCUCCCAAACAAACUACUUGGACCUGAAUCUCGUCCAGCCUUAUGUUCUGGUGUUAAAGAGUCUGUCUGGAAUUUACCCUGAGAACAAUAGCAGGCUUUACCUUCCUCUGAUAAUUGGCAAAAGGUUCUGAAGCUCCCAGGCCAUCUGGAGUCCUUGUAAACUAGCAUACCUACAGCUGUACAAGCCAUAUUUUGAUAGCCCCCUGUAGCUAAUGGCUACCAUAUUGAACAGCAAAGAUAUACGGUACUUACCCAGCAGUAUAGAAAGCUCAACCGGACAGUGCUACAACAGUUGCAGGCAUUUUGUUGUCUGAAGUUUGUUAUUUCUCUGGAAGAGAUCAUGGGAAUAAUAGCACCUGAGGUCUUCUGUCACAGCAUGGCACGUCAGGGUCUUCUCUACCCAAAUAAUGUUCUUUGUUGGUGUAUAGAACUGCUACUAGCCUGGGCAACAUGGUGAGACCCCAUCUUAUCUCUACAACAUUUAAAAAAAAUCUAGCCAGGUAUGCACCUGUGGUCCCAGCUACUUGGGAGGCUGAAGUGAGAGGAUCGCUUAGGUCCAAGAGAUCAAGGCUGCAGUGAGCCAUGUUCGUGCCACUGCACUCCAGCCUGGGCAACCCAGUGAGACUGUCUAAAAAAAAAUUAGAAAUGCCACUGAUUUUUGUAUGUUGAUUUUGUAUUCUGCAACUUUACUAAUUUGUUUAUCAGUUCUAACAGUUUUUUCGUAGAGUUUUUAGAUUUUUCCAGGUAUAAGACGUGUCAUCUGUGAACAAGGCUUAUUUGACUUCUUCCUUUCAAAUUUGGAUGCCCUUUAUUUCUUGUUCUUGCCUAAUUGCUCUGUCCAGGACUUCCAGUAUUAUGUUGAAUAAAGUGGUGAAAGUGAGCAUCCUUGUCUUAUUCCAGUUCUUAGAGGAAAGACCUUCCAUUUAUCCUCAUUCAGUACAAUGUUAGCUAUGGGUUUGUCAUACAUGGCUUUCAUUUUUUUUGAGCUAUGUUAUUUCUAUAACCAUUUUGAUGAGGGUUUUU